GACGUAGGGGGCCAGCGUUGUUCGGAAUUACUGGGUGUAAAGGGUUCGUAGGCGGUGCGGCAAGUUGGGAGUGAAAUCUCUGGGCUUAACCCAGAGGCUGCUUCCAAAACUGCUGUGCUUGAGUGUGGGAGAGGCGCGUGGAAUUGCAGGUGUAGCGGCGAAAUGCGUAGAUAUCUGCAGGAACACCCGUGGCGAAAGCGGCGCGCUGGACCACUACUGACGCUGAGGAACGAAAGCUAGGGGAGCAAACAGG
rnacentral:rRNA from 1 species